UUAAUUUGACUCAACACGGGCAAACUUACCAGGUUCAGACAUAGUAAGGAUUGACAGAUUGAGAGCUCUUUCUUGAUUCUAUGGGUGGUGGUGCAUGGCCGUUAACGAACGAGACCAGGCGGGGGACUUGGUGUAAGGAUUUAGUCA
rfam:Gossypium hirsutum cultivar TM-1 chromosome 19, whole genome shotgun sequence